rnacentral:piRNA from 1 species
UAAUGGAGGCCAGAGGUUGAAAUCAGA